rnacentral:rRNA from 1 species
GACGAACGCUGGCGGCGUGCUUAACACAUGCAAGUCGAACGGAAAGUCCCUGCUUUUGUGGUGUGCUCGAGUGGCGAACUGGUGAGUAACACGUGAGUAACCUGCCCUUUACUUUGGGAUAACUUCAGGAAACUGGGGCUAAUACCGGAUAUGAUCUCCUGCAGCAUGGUUGGGGUUGGAAAGUUUCGGCGGUUGGGGAUGGACUCGCGGCUUAUCAGCUUGUUGGUGGGGUAGUGGCUUACCAAGGCUUUGACGGGUAGCCGGCCUGAGAGGGUGACCGGCCACAUUGGGACUGAGGUACGACCCAGACUCCUACGGGAGGCAGCGGUGGGGAAUAUUGCACAAUGGGCGGAGGCAUGAUGCAGCAACGCCGCGUGCGGGAUGACGGCCUUCGGGUUGUAAAACGCUUUCGCCUGUGACGAAGCGUGAGUGACGGUAAUGGGUAAAGAAGCACCGGCUAACUACGUG